CGCACACACACACACACACACACACACUAAUGACAUGGAAGGUACACACACACACUAAUCCAGUCUCACAUGUACAUGUCUGUAACUUCGCUGGUUCGCAGCACAUAAUUUGGAGUUUGUCAGUAACGGCUCUAAAACUGUGAGAUGCCUGCGUUCUGUCCUGUGCUGUCCUUUCCUAUUGGCCUGCGUCCACGUCACAUGACUGCCAAGUUAUAUGCUGUUUCAUUUUAGACUGCCUCACUGCUUACCUUAAGUUUUCAGCCGUUGUAAUAAUAAAUCUCACUAAGUAGA